rnacentral:tRNA from 1 species
GGAGGGGUGCGAGAGCGGUUGAAUCGGGCAGUCUCGAAAACUGUUGUGCGUCUAGGCGUACCGUGGGUUCGAAUCCCACCCCCUCCG